rnacentral:rRNA from 1 species
GGAAUCUUGCGCAAUGGGCGAAAGCCUGACGCAGCAACGCCGCGUGCGGGAAGAAGGCCUUCGGGUUGUAAACCGCUUUCAGCAGGAACGAAAAUGACGGUACCUGCAGAAGAAGGUGCGGCCAACUAUGUGCCAGCAGCCGCGGUGAUACAUAGGCACCAAGCGUUGUCCGGAUUUAUUGGGCGUAAAGAGCUCGUAGGCGGUUCAGUCAGUCGGGUGUGAAAACUCUGGGCUUAACCCAGAGCCUGCACCCGAUACUGCUGUGACUAGAGUUCGGUAGGGGAGCGGGGAAUUCCUGGUGUAGCGGUGAAAUGCGCAGAUAUCAGGAGGAACACCGAUGGCGAAGGCACCGCUCUGGGCCGAAACUGACGCUGAGGAGCGAAAGCAUGGGUAGCAAACAGGAUUAGAUACCCUGGUAGUCCAUGCCGUAAACGUUGGGCACUAGGUGUGGGUUCCAAUCAACGGAAUCCGCGCCGUCGCUAACGCAUUAAGUGCCCCGCCUGGGGAGUACGGUCGCAAGACUAAAACUCAAAUGAAUUGACGG